rnacentral:rRNA from 1 species
UACAGAGGGGGCAAGCGUUAUUCGGAUUUAUUGGGCGUAAAGAGCUCGUAGGCGGUUUGUCGCGUCGUCCGUGAAAACUCACAGCUUAACUGUGAGCUUGCGGUCGAUACGGGCAGGCUAGAGUUCGGUAGGGGAUACUGGAAUUCCUGGUGUAGCGGUGAAAUGCGCAGAUAUCAGGAGGAACACCGGUGGCGAAGGCGGGUCUCUGGGCCGAUACUGACGCUGAGGAGCGAAAGCGUGGGGAGCGAACAGG